rnacentral:rRNA from 1 species
UACGGGGGGAGCAAGCGUUGUUCGGAUUUACUGGGCGUAAAGGGCGCGUAGGCGGCCACCGCAAGUCGGUUGUGAAAUCUCUGGGCUUAACCCAGAAAGGUCAACCGAUACUGCGGGGCUAGAGUGCAGAAGGGGCAACUGGAAUUCUCGGUGUAGCGGUGAAAUGCGUAGAUAUCGAGAGGAACACCUGCGGCGAAGGCGGGUUGCUGGGCCGAUACUGACGCUGAGGAGCGAAAGCGUGGGGAGCGAACAGG